GAUGCAGCGCUUUGAAGGCAGAGAUACGCUUCACUGGAUUAAAUGUCAGCAUUUCCUAGAGAGAAGCACAAUGAGGGAAUGAUGUCCUUGCUGUUUACACACACACAGUUUUAAUCCAGUUAAGACAGGUCUCAGGCCUAUGUGGAACAAGACGAGCACGAGAUCGUCUGAAGGCAUUCAUGUCUUGUUUCCAUCUUUUGAAAUGUUUCUCAGGCACCCGCCCACAGGUCUCGUGUGGCUCUUAAAUCUGGCAUCAGCCUUACUUUGGAAACACUGCUCUGUGUUGUCCUAUGACUAACACAAGUCCACACAGUACAUUAUUCAUGAAGCAGCUGCGGUGAUUGCCAACAGCCUGGAUGCGUGAAACAUGCCUUCAUUCCCAGUUACUGAGCACUGAGUCACUGACGCUCAUCGUCUCAUUCCAUCCACAGACAAUUGCCCCCAGAGCCGGGAUGGCGACAGCAACAUGCGAGCCCUGUGAAUGCGAGAACGGCCCUCCGUCCACAGCCUCUGGAACCAGACAGACCCACAAUUCUACAGCAGACGCACUUUAGACCAGCAAAAGCUGCUCCUGGGCUGCACGACUUCACAUUGCACUGGCCCAAUCCAGGCAGCAGGACUCACUCGAAGAUCUUGCCCAGCUGGUCAGCUUCGGAGUUGCCACAGAAGAGAGGCCUGUAGGGAGGACAAAGGGACGUGUGGUUACUGUGGGACGUGAUGGCAUAAGUUCUGUGGCCGCUGCUGCCUUACUACAGCACCUCUGAGUGGGGGACGCUGCACUGUUGAGUCUGCCCUAUGCACACUCGAGGCAGAAAACAGUCUGUGCCCCUGCCAGCCAGGGUGGUGCCAUUAGCGAGAUGGGCAGUGCAAGAGACGGGCUGCACGACACACACAUUCAUGGUUCCCACAGAACUCAGGAGGCGGCUUACAAUGGUGCCAGAUAGACAAUGAAUUGUCUGGAAAACAUGGAAGGGCUAAGCCAUGACGCAGACACCUAGGAUAGCAAGCAAAGGAGAAGGGGGCAGAAGUACACAGAAAAAAAGAAGUGGUCCAGCAUUAAAGAUACAGCACCCCCAGAUAGCCUAUUCCUUUCUCCCACUGGCCAAUGUGAACGGGAGGUCACUGGAAUACAGAAGAGACACCAUUUCAUGAAUUACUUAUGUACCAAGCUACACAAAAAACCAGCCCUCCACCAUUUAAGUCUCCAGAUGGAUGGGGCAACUUCAAAAGGUCUUGUUUAAAUAAAUAAAGUCUAGAGAAACACAUUUUAUGAAGGGCUGUGCUCCCCCUAUGGAACGUGGCAGCUUUUGGAACAAGUGGGAAUUCACCCAAGGUGUAGCACUACCACCCUUUCAGGGAACUCUGUGAAGCUACCUCCAUGAACCCCCUCCAUUCCAUUCAAGUCAUGGAUUAGGACAGUCCUCUUCCAGUUGAAGUCUGAGACCAACUUAAAGGGCUUACACUAAACAGCUUGGGACCAAAUUACCUAAAAGAACACCUCUUCUCAUCUACUCCUGCCCAGCUCCUGAGCUCAUCAUCUGUACUCUUUCUCAGAGAGCCCCCUUUAAAAGAAAUAAAGACGGUGGCUAUGAGGAGAAGGGCCUUUUUGGUAGAGGCACCUCAAUUAUGGAACCAGCUUCCAAAGGAGCAACACCUGGAGUCCACUCUUCAUUCCUUUCAGCACCAGCUAACAACCUUUUUAGUCACCCAAUAUUGUAACAGUUAACAAUUUUCAUUUCCAUUUAAAAGAAUAUUUUGUCUAUUUUACAUGCCACUGUAUUUUACUGCUGCUAUACUCUAGACUGACCUGUACAUCACUGCUGUGGAUUUAUUGUGGGCCUAUUGUUGUUAUUCUAGUAUUGUUUUUAUACUGAUGUAUUAUUUAUCUUUA